rnacentral:tRNA from 1 species
GGUUGUAGCUCAGUGGGAGAGCACUUGCCUUGGACGAGUGAGGCCCUGGGUUCAAUGCUCAGCACCA